AAGGGAGACCUAAUUCAGGUAGGAGACGAAAAAAAGUAGUCCCUACCCAGAAUCAAUCCCAAAAGGUCGGAGCGAGGCAAAAUUGGCUUUCAAACUAGGUUCUGGGUUCACAUAAGACCUGAAUCAGGAACAAGGGCUAUUAGCUCAGGUGGUUAGAGCGCACCCCUGAUAAGGGUGAGGUCCCUGGUUCGAGUCCGGGAUGGCCCACCUGCACAGGUGGCAAAAACAAAGAAAAGAAGCUCCGAAUCAGCACCUUAUCUUACUCAUAUAGUAAGAGAGAAUGCUGGCUCUGAGUUCAGAGUCCAGAGGAACCUUGAAAACUGCAUAGAGCUAGGUGAAAAAGCCAAAAAAGAAGACCGCAAGGUCAAGCUAAUAAGGGCUAACGGUGGAUACCUAGGCAC
rnacentral:tRNA from 1 species